CCUACGGGAGGCUGCAGUGGGGAAUAUUGGACAAUGGGCGAAAGCCUGAUCCAGCCAUGCCGCGUGUGUGAAGAAGGCCUUCGGGUUGUAAAGCACUUUCAGUGGGGAAGAAAGCCUUGGGGCUAAUACCCUCGAGGAAGGACAUCACCCACAGAAGAAGCACCGGCUAACUCCGUGCCAGCAGCCGCGGUAAUACGGAGGGUGCGAGCGUUAAUCGGAAUUACUGGGCGUAAAGCGCGCGUAGGCGGUCUGAUAAGCCGGUUGUGAAAGCCCCGGGCUCAACCUGGGAACGGCAUCCGGAACUGUCAGGCUAGAGUGCAGGAGAGGAAGGUAGAAUUCCCGGUGUAGCGGUGAAAUGCGUAGAGAUCGGGAGGAAUACCAGUGGCGAAGGCGGCCUUCUGGACUGACACUGACGCUGAGGUGCGAACGCGUGGGUAGCAAACAGGAUUAGAUACCCCAGUAGUC
rnacentral:rRNA from 1 species